rnacentral:lncRNA from 10 species
AGGUGCUUUGGAAGUAUUAGGACAAACCAUGAGAUUGCCAAUAUCCAAUCAUUUUACACAGAAACAAAUGGCUAUUUCAUGUGGCUCAACUUAACACGAAUGACUACUUAUAAAAUACAAGCUCCCUCUAUUUCAUUUAUGGGUGUUUUUUCAGUUUGAAACGAUGACCAAACUAAUCGUUUUGCUAAAAUGUAAAUAAAAGGUUGCAGUGAAGUCAGAAGAAAAAUUUAUGUAGUUCAAUUUAAAACAAGUUGCAUGUCUCAUCCUGUCUCACUAGAGAUGACAUCACUGCUCCUAAAUAGGGAGGAUGGAUCACAUGGGAUAACUUGUUUUUAUUGUGAUCAGCUGCAGGCGAUCAGCAAGAUGACCUCAUCUGCAGCUGAGGGGAUUUGACCUUUGCCCCUUUAGGUAUGUGAAGCAGAAAAAAAAUCUUUCACAGACUGAGGAAUGCAAAGCAGACAAGCAUCUUCAGCCAGCAGAGUUUAUCAAGCAUGUGUUCAGUGCAAAUGCUCAGACUUGGACAUGAUGCAAAAGCAAUUAAGAGAAAGAACAGGCUUUGACAUGUAUUAUUUGAUGUAGCACUCAUGGGCACCAUGAUGAGGAGCUCUUAAAUCAGCUUAACAAGGGUGAACUAGGAAGAUCAAAAGAGUGUUCCUGUUUCCUGCUAGCUCUGCAUGACAGCAUUGAACACAAAUACCACUGAUGAUGAUGAAUGGAUUGAGGAAUGCGGAAUGCAUUGUACCAAAAGGGUCCAGACAUUGCCACAAGUCUCACUUUGAGUCUCAGAGGAGCAAGGCCAUCAUGUAGAAGCCAGGAAUUAUUUUGGUCUGCAAUCAAUCCUUCUGAAGAAUCUCUCACAUCUUCACUUUUGUGCAGUAUGUUAAGUAUGAAUAAAAUGAUAGUGUAUGUCAGUCAAAUGUAAUCCUUAUGUUAAAACCUGAUUAUUAAUGCAGAAGCUCAUGGGAAGUCAGGUUAAUCUGAAUAAUAUAUUAUUUAUCUUAGUCCACAAUCUAUCAUUUCACAAACCAUGGUUAAUAGAAUGACAAAAAUAAAAAGCUUUGUUUAAAUGAAAAUGCAUAAUAUAUUCUUCAUCUGAUUUAUAUCUUAUUGUGUUAGUAGGCUAACAUAGCUAGUCUGUGAAUGUGAUACAAAGAAGAUGAUACAUUUCUUUGUUUUAAAAAUCUUAAGUAUUCCUGCUAAACAGUGAGUUUCCAAAGGCUUGCUAUUAUUUAAAAUAUUGCUUCCUAUUCUAUUAACUUAUUAAACAAAUAUUUUAAAGUUUAAAGGAUUCAAAAAAGGUGGUUAAAAAAUCCCAAUUUCUAUUUUUUAAUAUUAAAAACAUUCCUUUUAAAUAUUUUUUUUCCAAUUUUUAUUUUAAGUUCAGGGGUACCUGUGCAGGAUAUGCAGGUUUGUUACAUAGGUAAAUGUGUGCCACGGUGGUUUGCUGCACAGAUAGUCUCAUCACCUAGGUGUUAAGUGCAGCAUCCAUUAGCUGUUCUUCCUGACCCUCUCCCUCCUCC